CGUGUAGGCGGUUUUAUAAGUCUGAUGUGAAAGCCCUGGGCUCAACCCGGGAAGUGCAUUGGAUACUGUAAGACUUGAAUACGGGAGAGGGUAGUGGAAUUCCUAGUGUAGGAGUGAAAUCCGUAGAUAUUAGGAGGAACACCGGUGGCGAAGGCGGCUACCUGGACCGAUAUUGACGCUGAGACGCGAAAGCGUGGGUAGCAAACA
rnacentral:rRNA from 1 species